rnacentral:tRNA from 1 species
GAGCCUAUGGCGCAGCGGUAGCGCAACACGUUUACACCGUGUAGGUCGCCGGUUCGAAUCCGGCUGGGCUCA